AGUGAACGCUGGCGGUAGGCCUAACACAUGCAAGUCGAACGGCAGCACAGUAAGAGCUUGCUCUUACGGGUGGCGAGUGGCGGACGGGUGAGGAAUACAUCGGAAUCUACUUUUUCGUGGGGGAUAACGUAGGGAAAAUUACGCUAAUACCGCAUACGGCCUACGGGUGAAAGCAGGGGAUCUUCGGACCUUGCGCGAUUGAAUGAGCCGAUGUCGGAUUAGCUAGUUGGCGGGGUAAAGGCCCACCAAGGCGACGAUCCGUAGCUGGUCUGAGAGGAUGAUCAGCCACACUGGAACUGAGACACGGUCCAGACUCCUACGGGAGGCAGCAGUGGGGAAUAUUGGACAAUGGGCGCAAGCCUGAUCCAGCCAUACCGCGUGGGUGAAGAAGGCCUUCGGGUUGUAAAGCCCUUUUGUUUGGAAAGAAAAGCAGCAGGUUAAUACCCCGCUGUUCUGACGGUACCCAAAGAAUAAGCACCGGCUAACUUCGUG
rnacentral:rRNA from 1 species